GGCGAAGUGCCUGAGUGGUUAUAGGGUUUGACUCGAAUUAACUCGUUAUCAAAUGGCUUCGGCCGCGCAAGUUCGAAUCUUGUCUUCGUCG